CAGCAGCCGCGGUAAUACGGAGGAUCCGAGCGUUAUCCGGAAUUAUUGGGUUUAAAGGGUGCGUAGGCGGAUAGAUAAGUCAGUGGUGAAAGACGGUGGCUCAACCAUCGCAGUGCCGUUGAUACUGUUUAUCUUGAAUAUGGAUGAGGUAGGCGGAAUGUGGCAAGUAGCGGUGAAAUGCAUAGAUAUGCCACAGAACACCGAUUGCGAAGGCAGCUUACCAAGGCAAAAUUGACGCUGAGGCACGAAAGCGUGGGGAUCGAACAGGAUUAGAUACCCGGGUAGUCCCUGUCUCUUAUAC
rnacentral:rRNA from 1 species